GUUGCCGCUGCGAACUUCAAACUCCACAGUGCGACGCUGUCGGAUCCACCGCAGUGGUCGCUAUUGUCACGCCGGAUAAGAUCAUCGUCGCUAACUGCGGUGACUCCCGCGCUGUCCUUUGCCGGAACGGCAGCGCUAUCCCCCUCUCCUGCGAUCACAAGGUAAGAGAUUUUACUUUAUUUUAAAUUCCAUGUACUUCCAUUGAAAUGAAAAUAGGAUCAUUUAAAUAUUUAUUUAUUUUAUUUUUCAGCCGGAUCGACCCGAUGAAUUGCUCCGAAUCCAAGAAGCUGGUGGACGAGUAAUUUACUGGGACGGGCCCCGUGUUCUUGGUGUUUUAGCCAUGUCUAGAGCAAUUGGUUAGUCAACCAAAUUUCCCUUGAUUUAUAAUUAAUUUUUAUUUCUCAAAAUUUGUCUCUUCUUAUUUUUAAUUUUAAUUCUUAGGUGAUAAUUAUUUAAAACCAUUCGUCAUACCGGACCCUGAGGUGACGAUAACGGAGAGAAAAUGCGAAGACGAGUGUUUGAUACUGGCGAGCGACGGCCUGUGGGAUGUGGUGACGAAUGAUACAGCAUGUGGGGUGGCGCGUAUGUGCUUACGCGCACAAAAGCCGCCAUCACCGCCA
rnacentral:lncRNA from 1 species